CAGUAGCCACGGGAAUACGUAGGUGGCAAGCGUUGUCCGGAACUAUUGGGCGUAAAGCGCGCGCAGGCGGAUCAGUCAGUCUGUCUUAAAAGUUCGGGGCUUAACCCCGUGAUGGGAUGGAAACUGCCAAUCUAGAGUAUCGGAGAGGAAAGUGGAAUUCCUAGUGUAGCGGUGAAAUGCGUAGAUAUUAGGAAGAACACCAGUGGCGAAGGCGACUUUCUGGACGAAAACUGACGCUGAGGCGCGAAAGCCAGGGGAGCGAACAGGAUUAGAUACCCCUGUAGUCCCUGUCUCUUAUACA
rnacentral:rRNA from 1 species